CAUAGCGACUAUCGUGGCAUAUCAAUAAGCGGAGGAAAAGAAACUAACAAGGAUUCCCUUAGUAACGGCGAGUGAAGCGGGAAGAGCUCAAAUUUGAAAUCUUCAAGGUUCUGACCUUGACGAAUUGUAGUUUAUAAGAAGUGUUUUCGGUUAGUAGGAGUAGUCAAAAGUUCUUUGGAAUAGGACAUCAUAGAGGGUGAGAAUCCCGUAUUUGGAUCAUUCUUUCUAGCUUUGUGAUACACUUUCAACGAGUCGGAUUGUUUGGGAAUGCAGUCCAAAAUGGGUGGUAAAUUUCAUCUAAAGCUAAAUAUUGGCGAGAGACCGAUAGCGAACAAGUACCGUGAGGGAAAGAUGAAAAGAACUUUGAAAAGAGAGUUAAACAGUACGUGAAAUUGUCAAAAGGGAAGCGUUUGACACCAGUGUUGUUUUUCCGAAAAUCAAUUACGAAUGUUUUAUUUUUGAGGAGUUAUGACUUCAUCGGCUUGCUUCUUUCUUUAUGAAACUUUCUUAAUGCACUUUUCGGUUAACAAGUCAACAUCAAUUUCUUUUGUUGUAAAAGGGUAUGAGGAAGGUGGCUUUCUUUUCGGAGAAAGUGUUUAUAGCCUUGUACCUCUGCAAUCGGAGAGAUUGAGGUCUGCAGCGUAGAUCCUUCGGGGUUAGAUACAUUUGUGCUAAGUUAUAGCUUUUCAUAGACAACUUGUUGACUAUGUUUAGUCUUGUAGCUUACUCGCUUAUGCUAUUUUACCUACGCUUAGGAUGUUGAUAGUCACAGCGUGUAC
rnacentral:rRNA from 1 species